rnacentral:tmRNA from 1 species
GGGGCUGAUUCUGGAUUCGACGGGAUUUGCGAAACCCAAGGUGCAUGCCGAGGAGCGGUUGGCCUCGUAAAAAGCCGCAAAAAAUAGUCGCAAACGACGAAAACUACGCUUUAGCAGCUUAAUAACCUGCUUAGAGCCCUCUCUCCCUAGCCUCCGCUCUUAGGACGGGGAUCAAGAGAGGUCAAACCCAAAAGAGAUCGCGUGGAAGCCCUGCCUGGGGUUGAAGCGUUAAAACUUAAUCAGGCUAGUUUGUUAGUGGCGUGUCCGUCCGCAGCUGGCAAGCGAAUGUAAAGACUGACUAAGCAUGUAGUACCGAGGAUGUAGGAAUUUCGGACGCGGGUUCAACUCCCGCCAGCUCCACCA